CGCACCCCCUCCCUGUUUCUUUUCUUCUUCCACGCCCAAUCUCUCUUCCCUUCCUCUAUCUUUUCCUUCUUUCUUUUCUUCUCAUUUUCUCUCUCGGCUCUACUGCUCCAGCCGACCCACUCCAUUUCUCCUUCUCUUUUCUUCCACUUCUCCAGCGAUGCACGGCUCGACCCUCUCCCCUGCAAGCACGAUCUCCCUCUCCCCUCUUCCAUCAUCGUCUCUUCUUCCUUUCCUCUCACCCGCGCAACCCAACCCUUCCCUUUUUCAUCUUCUUCUUUUCGGUUCACCCCAUCGCACACACGCACGCCCUUGAGUCACAGUGAGUCUGUGAGCCAUGGGUUGAGAUCGGCAUCGAGAGAGAGAGAGACCCAACUGAAAUGAUGCGGCCCGAGUUGCGGAGGACACGUCGCAGAGAGAAUAACAAAACGAUAGUGUCCUGAUUGGAAACUUCGAGGGGUUCUCUAAUAUCGAGUUCGAGUCAAGAGUCCAAUGCAGCCAGGUGAUAUUUUACUCACUGAGAAACUGUUAUUUUUAUAUAUUAUAAAAUUGCAAAAUAUAUAUGUUUUAUAAAUCUGAACCAACUGUACGUUGAAUAUAUCUGUUUUUCUUGUUUUGAGUACUUUAGAGUAAAUUCAAUAUAUCAAGGAUAGUUUCAGAAUAUAGUAUAGUGUGUAGUAUGUUUUGGAUGAAAUAUUAAAAUGUUUAGAAAGGUCUGAUUUAUCAGCAUGAUAUAGUAAGACAAUAUUUACCAGUCAAUCAAAGAGCAUAGAGCAUGUAGUAUAGAGCAUAAGCAUACAGUAACCCAGCAGUAACAUAGCAGUAACCCAGCAGUAGCCCAGUAACAGCUCAGUUCAACAGUUUAUCAGCAGCACAUCAGCAUGCAUAGCAUACAUAGCAUGAUUUAAAUUAUGUGAUGUUUUCAUAUAGAGUAUUAUAGUUUUUAUGCUAGACGUAUUAGUAUGCCUAAGAGUUUUAAUGGCAAAAGAGCUUAUGUAUACUGCUAUCGUCUAGUUGCAUAAUUUUAGAACAUUGAGCUUGGACGAACAAGAGUAUUGUCAUGGUUCGGUAUGAGUAAUACAGCGUCCUAAGAGUAGGUAGAUGAAUUGUCGUGGCACAUCAGUAAGAAGUGCUUGGAUACUCGAGUUUUACCCUAGUAACCGCAUGGACAACUAUGUCCUCGGCAUGAAGUUGUAAUGCCCUAGGAUUCCGUGUUGACCAUGUUCGAAAAAUGACAGUAAGCUUGUACUAAAGAGCGAGAUGGCGUGUUUUAAGCUUAGUGUGCUUGGUUUUGACGCUAUUGGUUGCGAUAUCGGUGUGGCUUGGGAGUAGGUAGAUGAAUUGUCAUGGCACAUCAGUAAGAAGUGCUUGGAUACCCGAGUUUCACUCUAGUAACCGCAUGGACAACUGUGUGCUCGGCAUGAAGUAGUAAUGCCCUGAGGCACAGUGUUAUCACAGUUAAUAACAUUAGACCUAUGUGCAUUUGAGCUACCAACAUAAAAGUAUUAGUGUAGGUGGGUUUAUACGUGGUUGCUUCCAAGCCAAUUGAACUUCUACGUAUGGGUCCAACUACAUAGUAUGUUUUAAAUGUUUUCUGAUAGUCGGUGUUUGCUAUAUCAGCUAUGGGGGUUUUCAAACAAAAUUCUAUAAAUUGGUAGCUGUUAUAGUGUACGCGAGACUAAAAAGAAAAGUUGGUUCAUUUGGAAAACUCAGUUAGUUUAAUAUCACUGAGGUCUCAGUAUUAUGUACUGAGGCGGUGAACUCAUCAUUUCACCUAUACAGAUGUGGUAAACCCCCACAACCGUAUAGAUGAUGUCCCUUUGGCUGCAGGUACCCGGGUCGUAGUUGAUGGGGUUGUAGUCGUGCAGUUGGGAUAUUAUGACCGAAGCUCGCCGCGACGGUUGUAAUUGUGGGACCAUGGGCGUACUCAGUUUUGUAAAUUUUACUAUAGCUUGUGACGCCUGUGUCACUUGUUUUUUUGUAUAAAGCCAACUUUGUUAUGUAUUUAUAUUGAAGAAUGACUUGAACACAUAGAUGGUAAAUGGCUUUUGUUAUUAAUUUAUGAUAGAUGUUUGAGAUGUGAUUUCCGCUA